rnacentral:rRNA from 1 species
GAAGCGCAAGUGACGGUAUGUGCAGAAGAAGGACCGGCCAACUACGUGCCAGCAGCCGCGGUAAUACGUAGGGUCCGAGCGUUGUCCGGAAUUACUGGGCGUAAAGAGCUCGUAGGUGGUUUGUCGCGUUGUUCGUGAAAACUCACAGCUUAACUGUGGGCGUGCGGGCGAUACGGGCAGACUUGAGUACUGCAGGGGAGACUGGAAUUCCUGGUGUAGCGGUGGAAUGCGCAGAUAUCAGGAGGAACACCGGUGGCGAAGGCGGGUCUCUGGGCAGUAACUGACGCUGAGGAGCGAAAGCGUGGGGAGCGAACAGGAUUAGAUACCCUGGUAGUCCACGCCGUAAACGGUGGGUACUAGGUGUGGGUUUCCUUCCUUGGGAUCCGUGCCGUAGCUAACGCAUUAAGUCCCCCGCCUGGGGAGUACGGCCGCAAGGCUAAAACUCAAAGAAAUUGACGGGGGCCCGCACAAGCGGCGGAGCAUGUGGAUUAAUUCGAUGCAACGCGAAGAACCUUACCUGGGUUUGACAUGCACAGGACGCCAGUAGAGAUAUUGGUUCCCUUGUGGCCUGUGUGCAGGUGGUGCAUGGCUGUCGUCAGCUCGUGUCGUGAGAUGUUGGGUUAAGUCCCGCAACGAGCGCAACCCUUGUCCUAUGUUGCCAGCGGGUUAUGCCGGGGACUCGUAGGAGACUGCCGGGGUCAACUCGGAGGAAGGUGGGGAUGACGUCAAGUCAUCAUGCCCCUUAUGUCCAGGGCUUCACACAUGCUACAAUGGCCGGUACAAAGGGCUGCGAUGCCGUGAGGUGGAGCGAAUCCUUUCAAAGCCGGUCUCAGUUCGGAUCGGGGUCUGCAACUCGACCCCGUGAAGUCGGAGUCGCUAGUAAUCGCAGAUCAGCAACGCUGCGGUGAAGACGUUCCCGGGCCUUGUACACACCGCCCGUCUUU